GUGGGGAAUCUUGCGCAAUGGGCGAAAGCCUGACGCAGCCAUGCCGCGUGAAUGAUGAAGGUCUUAGGAUUGUAAAAUUCUUUCACCGGGGACGAUAAUGACGGUACCCGGAGAAGAAGCCCCGGCUAACUUCGUGCCAGCAGCCGCGGUAAUACGAAGGGGGCUAGCGUUGCUCGGAAUUACUGGGCGUAAAGGGCGCGUAGGCGGACAGUUUAGUCAGAGGUGAAAGCCCAGGGCUCAACCUUGGAAUUGCCUUUGAUACUGGCUGUCUUGAGUUUGGGAGAGGUGAGUGGAACUCCGAGUGUAGAGGUGAAAUUCGUAGAUAUUCGGAAGAACACCAGUGGCGAAGGCGACUCACUGGCCAAAUACUGACGCUGAGGUGCGAAAGCAUGGGGAGCAAACAGGAUUAGAAACCCGUGUAGUCC
rnacentral:rRNA from 1 species